AAAUAUACUUAUAUUCAAGAUUUGGUUUGGUCACUGAUUGGGAUUAUGUUAAAUUGAUUAAGCUGAACUUAUUGUCAAAAUAAAAAAGGAAAGCUUUUUUAUAGUGAAAUGCAUAGUAAAAUUGGGUAAAGUAAGAAGAAUAUACGUUAAACAAAAUUCAUUAGUUUCCUGCCACAUGCAUAUACAAUCAUCUACCUUUUUUUAAAAAAAAUUUAAACUCAGAAACUUCAUUAAGAUGCAUCAGAACAAUGUAGUCAUCUACCAUUUCUUUUAAUUGUUUUGAUAUGUGUAUGGAAAGACAAGGAGCCAUAGUUAUUAAAGGCGCUCCUCAAGCACGCCUCAAGCUCAAAGCUCACCACGCUCCAACCCUAGCGCCUCUAUAGGAGAAAGGAAAGCGACAUUCACCAGGCUUUCACCUUAUGCGCCUAGGCACACACCUUGUUCUAGGCGCAAUGCUCUAGAAAGGCACACCUUUUUUAUUUCCAUCUUCGAUGAGCAUUUGCAUUAACAUAAAGCACCACCUCUCAAUUUGAAAUUUGUCGAUCUACUAGAAUUUGAUAUUGACACACUAGGAAAUUUUUGAAAUUAGCAUCGCUGGUGAUAACUAGUCACUAAAAUUUGAUCAAAUCAUCACAUCCAAUUCACAAGCCUCUCAUAUUUCCAUUUUUAACACUACCA
rnacentral:misc_RNA from 1 species